GCGACUGUGGCGAAGUGGUUAACGCACCGGAUUGUGGCUCCGGCACUCGUGGGUUCGAUUCCCAUCAGUCGCCCCA
rnacentral:tRNA from 7 species